rnacentral:misc_RNA from 1 species
GAGAUUUGCUUCUGAUUUUCUUGCUUUAGGAAUACCCCUUAAUAUUCUUAUAAAUAAUGCUGGGAUAUUUUCUCGGAAUUUGGAAUUCUCAGAAGACAAAAUUGAGAUGACAUGCGCUACAAAUUGUUUAGGACAUUUUUUGCUGACAGAAUUGCUAUUGGAGAAAAUGGUAGAAACAGCAGCAGAGACAGGCAUCCAGG